rnacentral:lncRNA from 1 species
AGACGGUAGGGAUGCUUUUGUUUUCUUAAGUAGCCCAAAGAACCUUAGGUAGUUAGAAUUAAGAUGUUAGAGCUUACAAAGUAAAAUGAAAACUAGGCGUUAAUGCACUCUUUGACGUAUCUGAUAGAAUGCUGGAAGCUUAAUGUAAAUAUGCAAAUACUAGAGAGAACUAUACUUUGAUUUAGUUUAGCUCUAGUGAAGAGUGCACAUAGGAGAAUCAACCCCUGUGUCAGGUUCUGAUCAUUUUAAAGGGGAAAGUUGCCCAAAGGGGGGACACUAUUUUGUUUGCUUUCCUCUCCCACAAACACUCAGUCUUUCAAACCUCAAAGAUGAAACUGUUGUUUUUGCCAGUCGUUUACUUUUUGGAUCCUAGCUAGAAUAACUGACGUGGCUCCUCUGUCACAGAGUUCAUGUGAGCUGCCACUGGAACUCUGGUCAGAGGAAGCACCCUAAUGCAGAGUAGCCAGCCCUUCCAUCCAGUUCUGACGUGGGGUACCAGUUGUGGAAAUCAACGCUUGUAUUUAAUUGCUUUCCCAUUGCUUUGCAAACUAUUUAAUCCUGGGUUACAUGUCUCUCUUUUUAUGAAUUCAGUCCUCCUCAGAGUGAAGCUUCCCCAGUGGCUUCUCCAGACCCCCAGCGCCAGGAGUGGUUUGCCCGGUACUUCACAUUCUGACUGAAUUUUGCUGGCACAGCUCUGUGUGGACUGUUCCAAGAGCAUGACUGCAUAGGAAUCAUUAUGUGGACAGGCCUUUCUAUGUAAAACACUGUGAAUGAGAAAGUGUUUGUCUCUCCGAUUUGAAAAUGCACUGUAUUCCCUGUGAUAUUUAUUGGAAUCACUCUCUGAGGUACUAUAUUAUGUGUGUAAUUAUAACAAUUAUUUUUAUUUUAGAUGGAAGUCUUAAUCUUUGUAAUUACUGCAUAAUAAAUUUUGUUAGAACAAAUGUUUUUCGUGGUUGUUUUCUAUCAAGUGUGCUUUAAACACUUUUUAAUACCAGGUAUAAGACUUGUCAAUAAGUUUUACUGCACUAAUGAUCAUAAAUUGUUACUUCAAGAGUCUUAAUAUCAAUAUAGGGAAAUUUAUUAUUAUCUUACAUUGUUGUGUAUAAUUCUAACUAUAUAAUUGUUAACAUUUAUAAAUCCAGAAUAAAAGAAUUUAUG